GUACGCGAAAGCUGUUGCGCGGCCACUCAGCUGAUUGUCUAUCGAUUUGUCAAUCUUCAUGAGCGUAAACUUCCACAUUGUUUACUGAAAAAACGAGGACUGUUGCAAAAACUGAUCGAAGAACCUACGAAGCACAGUAGGUGCGUGAAAAGAAAAAAAACGGCAUGGGUGAGCAGGACAGAUUGUGUUUAGUUGAGCAGGGGAGUCUCCCCUUUUUAAAAAAGGGCUACUAUCACCCCUUUCCCCCAUAAAAAAGGGUUGUUAGGCAGCACAACUUUUGACUGAUCUUUUUUGGCUGUGUGCUGUGAAGUUUUUUCUGCAAUCAACAUUUUAUAAAAUCUGGAAUAAACAUCUGCAGAGGCAAAACACGAAGGGCACACCCCUUUAGUCAAGGGAUUUAGAAUGCGAUACAGGGGAACGGAGAGCCAAGGACCAACGGAGAUGGAGAUAGUAGGCCUGCGUCUCUCUCUGUUCACCCUGAGAGCAGCUCCACGGCAAGGGAUCAGCCAAUGGCAGCCUCUGGCUAUAUAGCAUACAAGAGCAGAAUCGGACUCCGUCUACAGGUCUCUGUUAGGAGAGUAGUUUAGUCACGCAGGGACUCCCACUGCCUCUACUUCGGUGCUCCCUUACAAGUUCAAGUGACGUGAAAGUGAAGUUGCAAGAGAAGAAAAAUUUGAACCACGAUGGUAUCGCUAUACAGAAAAUUUAAUUUAAAGAUUGAUCGCCGUCAUCAUCAACGAGCAUCAUCCUCUCCUCCCCAUCAGUGGCGGAAUCGUCCCCUCACGAGCGGCUGCGUAUGUACAAGGGGAAUAAUUCAAAGGAGCGCGAAUCGAAGGUUAUCAGAGCAGUGCAGUGAGAAAUUCGUCUUGAAGACUAAUGAAAUCAAAGAUAUCCCGCACACACGAUGCGACCGAGCCAGUGGAGCGUGGCCAGUCUACCCCGGCGCAGGAGGAAGAAGGAAGCAGAUCCAUUAUAAAGCCGCCGGAGCAUCGCGCCACGAGCUCUUCGUAUUCAAUCGCUCCAAUUUCUAAUCGAUCGCCCGGAUACGAGCUGCACAAUCGGCCUCCCGCCGACGUCCAGCAGCUAUUCCGGCAGCCGUGUAGAAGCCAUCCGGGCUACGAGAGCAGCAUCCGGAAAUCCAGGAAUCGCUUCCAUUACACACUCUUACCCUCGCGGAGGAAGAGGAGAAGGAAGCGACGGACGGAGCUUUUACUUCCACACUGGAUCUGCAGCGAUAUCUCGCAGCCCGCUCUCUCUCUUUCUCUCUCUCUCUCUCUCUCUCUCUCUCUCUUGCGCCGUAUUUCCUGGCGUUUCCCGGGCAUCCCUCCUCGCUUCUGCGGCAGCAGCAUCGGCGCGAGGAUAUAUAUCAAGCAGUUAUUGCGCGGAUGGUACGAAGACUCAUAAUUUCCCGGGCUUUGUUUUGUUUCUUCGAGCGCCGCGCCGAGAAGCCGGACGGCUGUGCAGGGAGAAGAGAAGGAAAGAGGGAUGGAAACAAAGCGGCCGAAAGACGCUCGGAGAAUAAGUGAAAUGAGCAAUGAGACUCCGAGUACAGAGCAGCGGAGAGAGAGAGAGAGAGAGAAUUGAUGUGUGGGAGAGAGCGUGAGGAAUGGCGGCGAGAGAUGCGCGCGGAGUGUUAUAGGAGAAUGUAUCCGUGUGGCGACUGAUGUAACGAGCGGAGGCGUCAUCGUUUCCUGUAGCGAUUGGGUUAUCGACGAGAUCUCGACUCGGAAGGAGUAUAUAAGGGAUCUGCGUCACUGCGGCCGCCACGGCGCUACACUAUCCUUUCCGAGAAAGUUUUAAGUCAUGCGCUGGAAGAAGACACUCGGAGUAUCUUAUCGCGGGCUUACGAAAGGAAUUCAAACAUUCCUUUUUAUCGGAAGCAGCAGAAAAAGGCAGAUACAUCCCGCCGGCGGCGGCACAUCGAGACAGAGAACGAGUCAAUAGCAUAUAAAGAAUCAAAAUGCAGAAAAGGAUCGCCGCGGGAGAGAACGGCGGAUCAGCUUUUUCCUCGGCGAUUUGAUGUAAUCUAAUUGGAUAUGAAAUUAAGUCAACGAAAUUCCGGCAAAAAUGAGAGGGGGUCGAACGCUGGCUCGAUUUGAAAUUUAUAUUUUCCGCCGCUCUGUUCUCCGCACGUGUUUGUCAUCUUUUUCCUCCUCUCGUACACGCACAUACGCACACAGGAGAGAGAUAGAUGCGCGACGGCGCGCAUAAUUGCGCUACUGCAUAUAAGCGCGCUCCUCCCUUACUUUACGCGCUUUUUGCUCCGCCGGAGAUGGAUGUGGACGAGCGUGACGCGCGCGGCUUCUCUCUUUUCAUGCAUCAGGUGCGAGGGCUUAUCACCGAACGAGCUCGCGGGGAUUAUCGGUAUAAUGCGCGUAUAGUCGGGACUCGUUUUCUCUCUGUAUGCGCAGCGUACACGCUUUGCUUUAUUUAGCCUCGACGAUUCUUUCCCACGCUGAAAAAUUCAUCGUUAUCGGGACACGGCUCGCCUGUGUACAUGGUAGCGAGGCAAUGUCGGCGCAAUUGCUCUUAUACGUGCGUAUAUAGGCUUUGAGUCGCGUUUAUCGACUAUAUUUUAAACAUAAGCUCGUCCGAGCUCGAUCGGUUUAAUUGACUAGUGACAUUUUGCGCGCUUCGCGCGAGCAACUGCUUCUAUUUUUAUGCUUUUUGGACAUAAGUUUUGAGGUUAUAAUUUCUCAAUUUAGAAAUAUUAUUUUAAUUAAUAUCAAAUUAAAAUUUAUUAAUUAAUGUAUCAAUUGUUUUAUUAUUUAUUCAAUUUGCAUUUAUAUCAUAAAUAACUUUGUAAAAAUUAAAUCAAUUUUAAUUCGUAAAUAUUUUCCAGAUUUUGUAUUUUCGCGCCCUUUUAAAAGCAUCCAAUCAAAUCUCGUUUUAGUCGGCUUCACUUUUAUCGUAUCUCUUUUUUAAGAAGGGAUGCUGUACGCACCGAAAUAAAAAAGCAGUUCUAUAUUUUUAUUACUGAAAAUUUUUCACUCUCGUUCUCUAUGCACAACGUCCAUUUUCGGCGCAUAGCGGGCUCGCAUUCCUCGCGCGCUUGCACCGGAUUUUCAAAGUUUCGCUCGACAACCGAUGAAGACGAAGAGAAGACGAGUCCGGAGGAGAAUUCGAGAAAGACAGAUGACGAAAGCGAGUAAGCGAAAGAGAGAAAGGGAUCCACCGAAGGAGGCAAACGACGCAAAAACUGGCGAGCAUUGUCCGGCUCUCUCCGUAUAGAGAGAACUCGCCGCCGGAGCAGCAACGUUGCAUACCUACCGAUCGCGCAUAACAGCUGUGUGGCGGCCGGCGAUUUGAUUUUUAAAUGCAAACAAAUCUACAUCGCGGCAAAAGCGCCGCCUGAAUCCGGAAUAUCUCGCGGAUAUACUGUUUUUUUUCGCAAUGAUGCAACUACUUUUUACCGCUUCUUCGGCUUUGAGCUCACCGACGCCGAAAAAAAAAAUAUAUAUAUAACGAGAAGUCGAAACGCGCACACUAAAUUUCCCGUGAAAUUGAGAAUACCUAUAAGCUCUCAUGCAAAAACUCCACGAGAGACGACCUCGGCAGAGGGAAUUGGCAAUAAGGUACGUAGCGCGCGGCAGUAACAUAAUUAACUCCUGAAUCGCGCGCGAGAAGGGUCAGAGUUCGACAGCGCCGCACAAAGAUACUCCCUCGCCGGAGCGUAAUUUGCCGCGUGACAGGACGAAUGCAACUGCGGCAGCGGAUCCUCUCUCUUCGCGGCGGCGAACACUACUCGCGCCCCCGUCAAAGCUCAUAAGUUAUAUGGUAACCAAGAGAGAGAGAGAGAGAGAGAGAGAGAGAAGCGAGUGCUGUGUACGUACGUACGUGCGGGAGAUGAUGAUACAGAGGAGAGCUGGAUAAAGGUAACGAGAAAACGAGGACGAGAUAGAGAGGGAGAGGGAGACGGGAGGUAAUUGCCGCGGAAUUAAUGAGACGGCAUAAUUGCCACGAUAAUCGUCGAUCGUUUUGUUACGAGGAUCGCAUAUUAUUAGAUCGGAUGUACAGGUAUGCGCGGAAGGUCAGAAAUGACAAUUAUACCGAAGGGCUAAUUGUUCGCGGGCAGCCUCGUCGGAAUGCCGCCUGACUGACGUGUGUUUAAUCGUUGCGAUGACAGACACGACAUCGCUAGAACUGGAUUGAAAGCUACAGUAGUGGGACUCGGAGGAUUGAAACGUUUCUCGAAAAGCGUCAUAGCGUGUACUAUUUCACUGGGAAACAAGCGAGAACGACUUCCUCGUCCAGCCUACAUCCCCGCAAGUAAUCGUACAGCGGUGACGAUUUAAAGCUCCCGCGGCUGCGCAGGUGCAGUUCGCGUCUGAUUCGAAAACGAGGCCGCGCGCGCAUACCUCGACGAUUCGUCCUCCUCGAUCUUCCUAGUCUGGGACACGUCGCUCGUAGCUUCUCCGGAGAUGAGCGACUAAAAAGCCGCGCGGGACAUUUAAAUGACGUCGUCGCCGAAGCCGGAAUAACUCAGCGGCCCGGCGUUUUUUCCUCGCGAUGGUACAAGGCGUAGUGCGCUGGAUCGGAGGAGUAAAAACUAGCGGAGAGGAUGGUUUAGCAUAAAAUUGCUUCGAAAAGUUUGUAUCCAAUAAUAAAAUGAUCUUACGAUAGUUUUAAGUUCCUUUCUACGACACUGUAUUCACUGUAACCUGUGUUGCUUCGAAUGUGCACUUAUACAAUUCCAAAAGAAAAGUCGAGUUUCUCUGAGAACAGCAGCUGUAAAUAAAGCCGAGGACGAUCAGCAGA
rnacentral:lncRNA from 1 species